GCACCGUGAGACAGAAGAAUGUUCACCAUGUUCAUAUUUUCCAGUUCACAAGCUGUAAAGACAGAGAACUCAGCAUUUCACACACACACCCGCAUGUCGGGGUCGGCGCCUGACUCCAGAAGAGACUGGACGCAGGGCAGCUGUUCACAGGACACGGCCAGCAGCAACGCAGUCUGCUCCUGCAGCGUCCGCUUGUCCACUGAGCCUGGAUGGGCUGCAGCAGAAAGGAAAACAUCCACAAAGCAACUAGUCUCGAGGCACCCCGUCUGGCCAGAAUAGGCAGCAUCAUGCAGAGGAAGCCACCCGUCUUUGUUUUCCUUCAGCAGGCUGUGGGAGG